rnacentral:rRNA from 1 species
UACAGAGGAUGCAAGCGUUAUCCGGAAUGAUUGGGCGUAAAGCGUCUGUAGGUGGCUUUUUAAGUCCGCCGUCAAAUCCCAGGGCUCAACUCUGGACAGGCGGUGGAAACUACCAAGCUGGAGUACGGUAGGGGCAGAGGGAAUUUCCGGUGGAGCGGUGAAAUGCGGUAGGAGAGUCGGAAAGAACACCAACGGCGAAAAGCAC